rnacentral:rRNA from 1 species
GACGAACGCUGGCGGCGGGCUUAACACAUGCAAGUCGAACGGAAAGGCCCUGCUUUUGUGGGGUGCUCGAUUGGCGAACGGGUGAGUAACACGUGAGUAACCUGCCCUUGACUUUGGGAUAACUUCAGGAAACUGGGGCUAAUACCGGAUAGGAGCUCCUGCUGCAUGGUGGGGGUUGGAAAGUUUCGGCGGUUGGGGAUGGACGCGCGGCUGAUCAGCUUGUUGGUGGGGUAGUGGCUUACCAAGGCUUUGACGGGUAGCCGGCCUGAGAGGGUGACCGGCCACAUUGGGACUGAGAUACGGCCCAGACUCCUACGGGAGGCAGCAGUGGGGAAUAUUGCACAAUGGGCGGAAGACUGAUGCAGCAACGCCGCGUGCGGGAUGACGGCCUUCGGGUUGUAAACCGCUUUCGCCUGUGACGAAGCGUGAGUGACGGUAAUGGGUAAAGAAGCACCGGCUAACUACGUG